AGAAAUGAACCAUUUUGGAGGCUGCCAGCUCAGAGCUGUGCUGCUGGGACACCACUCCUGUUCCAGCCCCUGUGAGCUCCUUGCUUGGCUCUCACAUCUCACCGUGGGCUGUACAGCCCAGUCAAGCCCUGGACAUAUUUUUGCUUUUUGUCUGUUCUAAAUGCAUCACAUCCUAAUCUCACUGUGUGUCUAAGAUGCCUGUGGUACAUCAGAAAAGAAAGUUUCUGUCAACUUAAAGGAUGAAGAGAUUCAGUCUGCAGACAAAACCUCCCAAAUCAGGAGCAGCCCUGGGCUACUGAGAGCUGCUCAAAAACUGAGCUUGACGUAACUCCUGUUUAAGAAGAGCUGUGAAAGUAAAAUAUGAAAAAUCA